GCUAAACUAAACUCUGCAAGUUGUUUCUAGAAACUGUUCUAGGGUCUACCUUCUCCUUUGGGAUCUACAAAGCUGCUUGAGAACUGUGCUUGGCUUGAGAUUCAGUAGUGUUGAGUUGCUAAGGCUAUGUGAGUUCUGCCUCAGGAGUGGGAACUCCUGGGACUGUUUGGUUCAUGGUCAUACUAAUGGCCCUGUAGACUGGCCACCAUGUGUCACACCCUGCAGAUCAACAUGACAUCUAUUUGAGGCUUAUGCGUGUCUACUCUUGUCGGGAGAACACUGUAUUCAGGGGGAUUCAACGUUUGGAUGACUUAACAAUUAGAGAUGCUUUUGUAAGAAACUUCUAGAAGUCUCUCCAAGACUCUGGGCUCUCUGCCAGAGGGCACGGUAACGGUGCAGUCAACAGUCCACAUCUGUUUCAUCAAUCAGUGUCUGCCCGGGAACAGAUGGUACCACCCAAUGAAGACCGUCCAGGACGAUUUAUUUAUAAAGUGAUAAGGAAACAUCUGGAGACAGAAUGAAGCCAUCUCCACUGGGACCCAGGGACAAUCCCAUAGAUGUGACAGUUACGGUCACAGAGACGAAGUUGCAGUAUAACCUGAAUCCUUCACCCUGACAGAAAUGCCUGCUGAAAAGCUGUAAAUAAACACUGAAAAUCCUGAUCUGAACUGUCCGAGGAAGAGAAGAAGGAAAGGCACUUGGCAUUUGUGCCUGGCAAACAUGAAAUUUCAUAUCACACUGUUCUCCACAUCUAUUUCCCAGAUCCGGG